rnacentral:lncRNA from 1 species
GACGUCAUAUGAGGAGGAUCUGGUUACGGGCAGUGCUUCCUCAGCUUCCGGAACCCCACGCAGCGCUUCACUGCUGCUGCCCUAAGUCAGGCUACAAACAAUUGGAAAUUGGGUGCAAUUUCUACCCCACUAGAGAUCCACAGCUUAUUUUGAGAGCUAUGAGGGAGUGGCAAAGUCUGAGCGAUGUCACGAACAAGGCACUAGGGAACCCACAACAGGAAAUUAGUGAGAGACCCUUUUUGCACAGAUUCUAACACAUCUACAGAUACAAGA